CAAAAAUGGCGGCUGGUGGAGUGGCUUUGUCAGUUUCUGUGGCUUUUCAUCUCGUCGUGUAAUUAAGUUCAAGUUUCUAUUUAGUAGAUACGAUUUUAUGUUCUCCUUGGCAGUUUCUGUUUACUUAAUUUCUCAUAGAUUUUUCGUGUAAUGCUGGCAUAAAAGGUUUGCAUUUAAAAGAUUAUCGUUCUCUCUGAACGAUAAUCUGUAUAUACUGCUUCAGCCCGUGGAAUGCUCCUUCUCUGUAACUAAAUUCGUGAAAGAAAGCACAGGUGAGGGGGGAAAAAGGAAGAUUUGUCAGUUACAGAAAAAGUCAGGGCUGACAGAGAAUGUCUCUUUUUAAAGCUCGGGAGUGGUGGUCUACAAUAGUGGGCAAUAAAGAAGAAUUUGAUCAAGGAUGUUUAUGUGUUGCAAAUGUUGACAAUAGCAGUAGUGCACAAGAUAAAAUUAUUGUAGGCAGUUAUAUGGGAUUUCUUAGAAUCUAUAAUCCCCAUCCUAUAAAACCUGGACAUACUAUGCAAGCUGAAGAUAUGCUCUUGGAAGUACAGUUAUGUGAGCCAAUAUUACAAGUGGAAGUAGGAAAAUUUGUUUCUGGCACAGAAUUGCUUCAUCUGGCUGUAUUGCAUUGCAAAAAAUUAUGUAUCUACGCUGUCUCAGGAAGCUUAGGAAAUACAGAACAUGGCAACCAAUACCAAUUAAAACGUAUAUAUGAACACAAUCUUUACCGAACAGCAUAUAACAUGACACAUGGACCAUUUGGAGGAAUAAAAGGUCAGGAUUUGAUCUGUGUACAGUCUGUGGAUGGAAUGCUUAUGUUGUUUGAACAAGAAAGCUAUUCGUUUGGACGUUUCCUUCCUGGCUUUCUUCUUCCUGGUCCACUGACAUAUAGUUCUAGAACAGAUUCAUUCAUUACCAUCUCUUCCUGUCGACGAGUUGAGAGCUACAGGUAUCAAGUACUUGCAUUAGCAAAAGAUGCUGAAACACAGGAAACUGAGCAACAAAAAAUUGGAUCUGGAAAAAAACUUGUGGUGGACUGGAUUUCAAACAUUGGGGAGCAAGCCCUGGACAUAUGUGUUGUUUCAUUUAAUCAACUUGUUUCCAGCAUAUUUGUUCUUGGGGAAAGAAAUUUUUUUUGCUUUAAGGAUAAUGGACAAAUUCGGUUCAUUAAAAAGCUUGACCACAGCCCAAGUUGCUUUCUUCCAUACUCAGUGUCUGGGACUGCUGUAAACACACUGAUUGGAAAUCACAACAGCAUCCUACAUAUUUAUCAAGACGUGACUCUAAAAUGGGCAACUCAGCUUCCACAUAUUCCUGUGGCAGCACAACUGGGGAAAUUACUAAAUUUGAAAGGUGUGAUUGUUACACUGAGUGAUAGUGGCUAUCUACAAUGUUCUUACCUUGGUACUGAUCCUUCUUUAUUUCAAGCUCCUAAAGUUGAAGCUAGGAAUAUUAAUUAUGCAGAAUAUGAUGCAGAAAUGAAUAAACUCCAGAAAAUCAUUAAAGACGCCAGGAAAAUUAAAGAUAUCCUGCCUAAGUCUGAAAAAAGUGAAGAUUUUGUACUUGGUGUGACGGUCUUGCCUGAUCUGGAUUCAGUUUCUCAAUCUGUUGACACUGAAAUUAAAGCAGAGGUGAUUCCUUCUGUGAAGAUAAAGAUUGAAGUUGAAAGCAGACUACCAACACUUACAAAAUUAACAGUAUGUGUUCCAUGUCCUUUAUCAUUGACUCAAAACUCCUUCAUUUUAGAAUUAGAAUCUUCUGUAUCUAAAACAGUUGUACUUUCUGCUUUUCGAAAAGGGAACUACCUACCAGCAGAUUUGGAAGGUAGCGUUAUAGCAUCAUACAAUACAGCCACAGGUGCACAAAGGAUUGCCCAAUGUAAAUUCCGAUUACCUUUGCGGCUGGUUUGUUUUCCUGCUCAGCCUUCAAAAACAGCAAGCCAGAAGUUAACUAUUGAUACCAACAAACCUACUGUCAGCCUUAUUACUCUUUUUUCAGACUUUGCUGAUCAAAUUGAUGAAGAUCAACUUAAUGUUUUAGGAUUUCAGUUACUAGCUGGCUCCAGAAUCACUUUACUUGCUUCGAAAACUUCUCAGCGUUACAGAAUUCAAAGUGAUCAAUUAGAAGACAUUUGGCUGAUUACAAAAGAACUCACUCUUCGUCUUGAGCAACACUUCAGGAGGCAAAAUUGCAAAGAUUUUAUAUGUACUUUUUCUGGUCCAAUCCCUUUACAAGACUAUUUUGGCAUAAUUGAUCACCAUUUUGAGCUGCGUUUGAAUGCUGUGAAAUAUGAGCAACUAUUAGCUGAAAGAGCCAUACAAUUUAGAGCUAUUGAACGGCGUUUACUGACAAGAUUUAAAGAUAAAACUCCAGCUGCACUUCAACAUCUGGACACCUUAUUAGAAGGAACGUACAGACAGGUAAUAGCUCUAGCAGAUGCAGCUGAAGAAAACCAAGCCAUUAUGUUCCAGGCAUUCACAAAAUUAAAAAGUGCCACCCAGCUGGUAAUCUUGCUGAUUAGUCUAUGGCAAAAACUGAAUGUUGAUCAAAUUGCUAUUCUGGAAGCUACAUUUCUGCCAUUAACACAGAAUAAUCAAGACUUGGGUUGGGAAGAAAGUGUGGAUGCUUCUAUCUCUCAUUUGUUAAAAACAUGUCUGUCCAAGAGUUCUAAAGACCAUGCUUUCACACUUUUUAAUCAAUUAUGUAUCCCCAAGGAUACUAAUAGAUUGAAGAAACACAUAACUUUACUCUUCGAUAGACUGGCAAAAGGUGGUCGUAUGUCUCUAAACACAGACCUAGACUGUUACCAACCUAUGCUUUUGUCAGGUGGCUGUGAUACUAUCCCAGAGUCUGAUUUUGAGGAAAGACCAGCCACACAAAACUCAACAAUGUUUGUCAACUACAGAAAUCUGGAUAAGCAAGAUAACAAACCUGAGGCAGUGGUGAAAUCUAAAUUUCUUUCCGACCGAUUCUGUGGGCAUGGCCUGGAUUAUCCUCUGAAGCUGCAUCUAGUGCCAGCCACCAAGGAGGAGGAGGGUGCACAGCUCUGUGAAUUGCAUCAAAGAGGAAAAUGCCGGAAAACAUGAUGCAUGGAGGCAAUGCUCUUGUGAAGUGGGCGCUUCUGCAUGAGAGGCAUAAGGCAAGAUUUGCCACAGGAUGAAUUACAGGAAGCAGAAACACCAUGAAAAGUGCAAGAAGACCCUCAGGAGAAUUUAAAAAAUCUGCAAUUACAAUCUGAAAGUACUAUUUUACUUUCCAGUACUGAAUACAGUAAGCUUCGAGAAGUAGGCCCCUCUAUUAAAGAAAAAUACUUCCCUUUUUAGUUACUGAUUUCAGAGAUAUUUUCUCAAGUGACAUUGUAGAAGAAAGUAUUCUGUUACUGGUAAUGCAAUUAUAAACACUAAAUAGAAAUCUGUGUUGAUCAAAGACUUAAUAUAUUGAAAUAUUAACAUAUUGAACUAUGAAAGUAUCCUGCGCUUUAAAUUUCCUUUUUUCCUUUCUCAUUUGUAACAUAUUGGUAGAUUUUGAUAAAGAAUUACAAUUUUGUCAUUAGAUGAUCAUUAUGUUUACUAUUUUAAAUACACAAUAAUUCAUUAGAUUUAUUUGGAUUUCACUUUUGAUUUAUAAAUUUGAUGUUGAGUCAUAUUGUGUAAGUUUAUGUUUUUGUGCAGAAGAGGUUUGUGAAGUCUCAGUCCUUGGUCUAUUCUGGAUGUUUUAUUCACUUUACCUAAAGUCUUUUUAUCUAAAAAUAAAACUAUUUUUAAUGAGAAUUCCUUUGUGCUCAGCUCUGAAGUCUUGUUGAAUAAUUUCAAAGAGAGGAUUUUAUCUUAGCUAUGUAAACUAAUCACACAAUUUAAUAAAUA